rnacentral:rRNA from 1 species
UACGUAGGGUGCAAGCGUUGUCCGGAAUUAUUGGGCGUAAAGAGCUCGUAGGCGGUUUGUCGCGUCUGCUGUGAAAACUCGAGGCUCAACCUCGAGACGCCGAUGGAAACCAUCUAACUAGAGUCCGGAAGAGGAGAGUGGAAUUCCUGGUGUAGCGGUGAAAUGCGCAGAUAUCAGGAAGAACACCCGUGGCUAAGGCGGCUCUCUAGUACGGUACUGACGCUGAGACGCGAAAGCGUGGGGAGCGAACAGG